UACGGAGGGGGCGAGCGUUAUUCGGAAUUAUUGGGCGUAAAGGGCGCGUAGGCGGCCUUGUAAGUCAAAGGUGAAAUCCCUCGGCUCAACUGAGGAACUGCCUUUGAAACUGCAAGGCUUGAGGCCGGGAGGGGGUAGCGGAAUUCCCAAUGUAGCGGUGAAAUGCGUAGAUAUCAGGAGGAACACCUGCGGUGUAGACGGCUUACUGGACCAUAACUGACGCUGAGGCACGAAAGCGUGGGUAGCAAACAGG
rnacentral:rRNA from 1 species